UUAAGCGACUAAGCGUACACGGUGGAUGCCCUGGCAGUCAGAGGCGAUGAAGGACGUGCUAAUCUGCGAAAAGCGUCGGUAAGGUGAUAUGAACCGUUAUAGCCGGCGAUGUCCGAAUGGGGAAACCCAGUGCAAUUCGUUGCACUAUCGUUAACUGAAUACAUAGGUUAACGAGGCGAACCGGGGGAACUGAAACAUCUAAGUACCCCGAGGAAAAGAAAUCAACCGAGAUUCCCCCAGUAGCGGCGAGCGAACGGGGAGCAGCCCAGAGUCUGAAUCAGCUUGUGUGUUAGUGGAACGGUCUGGAAAGUCCGACGGUACAGGGUGAUAGUCCCGUACACCAAAAUGCACAGGCUGUGAACUCGAAGAGUAGGGCGGGACACGUGGUAUCCUGUCUGAAUAUGGGGGGACCAUCCUCCAAGGCUAAAUACUCCUGACUGACCGAUAGUGAACCAGUACCGUGAGGGAAAGGCGAAAAGAACCCCGGCGAGGGGAGUGAAAAAGAACCUGAAACCGUGUACGUACAAGCAGUGGGAGCACCUUCGGGUGUGACUGCGUACCUUUUGUAUAAUGGGUCAGCGACUUAUAUUCUGUAGCAAGGUUAACCGUAUAGGGGAGCCGCAGGGAAACCGAGUCUUAACUGGGCGUUAAGUUGCAGGGUAUAGACCCGAAACCCGGUGAUCUAGCCAUGGGCAGGUUGAAGGUUGGGUAACACUAACUGGAGGACCGAACCGACUAAUGUUGAAAAAUUAGCGGAUGACUUGUGGCUGGGGGUGAAAGGCCAAUCAAACCGGGAGAUAGCUGGUUCUCCCCGAAAGCUAUUUAGGUAGCGCCUCGUGAACUCAUCUUCGGGGGUAGAGCACUGUUUCGGCUAGGGGGUCAUCCCGACUUACCAACCCGAUGCAAACUACGAAUACCGAAGAAUGUUAUCACGGGAGACACACGGCGGGUGCUAACGUCCGUCGUGAAGAGGGAAACAACCCAGACCGCCAGCUAAGGUCCCAAAGUCAUGGUUAAGUGGGAAACGAUGUGGGAAGGCACAGACAGCCAGGAUGUUGGCUUAGAAGCAGCCAUCAUUUAAAGAAAGCGUAAUAGCUCACUGGUCGAGUCGGCCUGCGCGGAAGAUGUAACGGGGCUAAACCAUGCACCGAAGCUGCGGCAGCGACACUAUGUGUUGUUGGGUAGGGGAGCGUUCUGUAAGCCUGCGAAGGUGUGCUGUGAGGCAUGCUGGAGGUAUCAGAAGUGCGAAUGCUGACAUAAGUAACGAUAAAGCGGGUGAAAAGCCCGCUCGCCGGAAGACCAAGGGUUCCUGUCCAACGUUAAUCGGGGCAGGGUGAGUCGACCCCUAAGGCGAGGCCGAAAGGCGUAGUCGAUGGGAAACAGGUUAAUAUUCCUGUACUUGGUGUUACUGCGAAGGGGGGACGGAGAAGGCUAUGUUAGCCGGGCGACGGUUGUCCCGGUUUAAGCAUGUAGGCUGGUUGUCCAGGCAAAUCCGGAUAAUCAAGGCUGAGGUGUGAUGACGAGGCACUACGGUGCUGAAGUAACAAAUGCCCUGCUUCCAGGAAAAGCCUCUAAGCAUCAGGUAACAUCAAAUCGUACCCCAAACCGACACAGGUGGUCAGGUAGAGAAUACCAAGGCGCUUGAGAGAACUCGGGUGAAGGAACUAGGCAAAAUGGUGCCGUAACUUCGGGAGAAGGCACGCUGGUGUGUAGGUGAAGNUGGAGCUGAGACCAGUCGAAGAUACCAGCUGGCUGCAACUGUUUAUUAAAAACACAGCACUGUGCAAACACGAAAGUGGACGUAUACGGUGUGACGCCUGCCCGGUGCCGGAAGGUUAAUUGAUGGGGUUAUCCGUAAGGAGAAGCUCUUGAUCGAAGCCCCGGUAAACGGCGGCCGUAACUAUAACGGUCCUAAGGUAGCGAAAUUCCUUGUCGGGUAAGUUCCGACCUGCACGAAUGGCGUAAUGAUGGCCAGGCUGUCUCCACCCGAGACUCAGUGAAAUUGAACUCGCUGUGAAGAUGCAGUGUACCCGCGGCAAGACGGAAAGACCCCGUGAACCUUUACUAUAGCUUGACACUGAACAUUGAGCCUUGAUGUGUAGGAUAGGUGGGAGGCUUUGAAGCGUGGACGCCAGUCUGCGUGGAGCCAACCUUGAAAUACCACCCUUUAAUGUUUGAUGUUCUAACGUUGGCCCCUGACCGGGGUUGCGGACAGUGUCUGGUGGGUAGUUUGACUGGGGCGGUCUCCUCCCAAAGCGUAACGGAGGAGCACGAAGGUUAGCUAAUCCUGGUCGGACAUCAGGAGGUUAGUGCAAUGGCAUAAGCUAGCUUGACUGCGAGCGUGACGGCGCGAGCAGGUGCGAAAGCAGGUCAUAGUGAUCCGGUGGUUCUGAAUGGAAGGGCCAUCGCUCAACGGAUAAAAGGUACUCCGGGGAUAACAGGCUGAUACCGCCCAAGAGUUCAUAUCGACGGCGGUGUUUGGCACCUCGAUGUCGGCUCAUCACAUCCUGGGGCUGAAGUAGGUCCCAAGGGUAUGGCUGUUCGCCAUUUAAAGUGGUACGCGAGCUGGGUUUAGAACGUCGUGAGACAGUUCGGUCCCUAUCUGCCGUGGGCGCUGGAGAAUUGAGGGGGGCUGCUCCUAGUACGAGAGGACCGGAGUGGACGCAUCACUGGUGUUCGGGUUGUCAUGCCAAUGGCACUGCCCGGUAGCUAAAUGCGGAAGAGAUAAGUGCUGAAAGCAUCUAAGCACGAAACUUGCCCCGAGAUGAGUUCUCCCUGAGACUUUAAGUCUCCUGAAGGAACGUUNGACGUUGAUAGGCCGGGUGUGUAAGCGCAGCGAUGCGUUGAGCUAACCGGUACUAAUGAACCGUGAGGCUUAACCUU
rnacentral:rRNA from 1 species